AGGUUUUCCACCGGGAGAGCAAUUUCUAGAUGCUAAAUUGAAAUGUAUUGUCCAGUGUCUUGCGAUGUCAUUCUUUCAUUAUUCAAGCCCUUGAACACAGAACAAGGAAACGAGGAUAUUUCGGAGUCCCAGUUUCACUGCCUUCGUGGACGCUGGAGCCACUGCCACCUUUACUAUGUGUGUGGUUAGGGUAUAGAUCAAACUACAAUUCAACAAUGGUCAUCUACACCAUCAGAUCUCCGACUAUAAAACUCCAUGCUAAUGUUCCAUAUUCCUCUUUUCUGCUAAUUUUUAGAGUUUAUCCUUCUAUGAAUUACCUAAUUUCAGUCACAACUGACAAAUAUCAGUCUAUUUGUUAAUAUCUCCAUCUCCAUCAAGGUUUAUAAAUUGACUUAAGAGUAUGUAUGUGCCCCUAUCAUUUUUUUGGUUCGUCAACAGAUGAAGUAAUCAACCGUUCGAAUGAGGGAUUAGGAGUACAUCAUCUAAAAUAUUUCUGUUCCCAGUUAAAUGUGUACCGAUAAAUUUAACUAUCAAAAUCAUUGUAGUGAGAAAAAAAUGUGUUCUUAUUUGCAGGCAUUGUGUGGCGAUAAACACAUGACCAGCAAGGGGCCCUGCCCCCCUCCCAAUACUAUGGAUUUGUUCAUAAUAAACACAUGAACAGUGCAGCAUUUGACUUGUUUUCUGCUCCAACCGGCCCUCCCCAACAUCCUAAUCCCACUAAUCCCACCUCCGCCACUGCAGGCAUGCCGGCCUUUUCUUAAUUGCUAUACUUUUGAGGACGCAUCACUAAAAAAACUAAAAGAGGUUUCAUGGCAAUGAUGGAGUGCUACCAAAUUAUGUUCCAAGAAAAAUGAUUUCUGCCUCAACUUGACUACAUGCAUGUUGAAUUGUUGACCCGAUUUGACGGACUAUAUAAGUGCUCUUUUCCUUGGGAAUUUGAAAGCACGCCCCUUCUAAGCAUCGCACAAUAUAUAGGCUUAUAUAUGUGGUACCAGUCAUUGGUACAAGCAUGUGUGCAUUACACCAGAAAAGGGGUUUCAAACUCGCAGAGCAUAUUGAAGGUGGUACAAAUCAUUGCAGAGUGAAUUACAAGUAGCUAUAUGUGGACUGGAAUUUACUGAAGCUUUGCAUAUUCAAAUUUUUAAGUCGAAUGAGACGUGCAUUGCACGUGCAAGCUUACUAGUACAAGAAAAAAAACCACAAUAGCAACCGCACGCAAACAAAUGCCAGCUCACCGCACUCUGCUGCGAACAUGGGCCUCGCCUUAUCCGUUUUUUCUACGUCAAGAAACACCCUAGCGGGAGCUCCUAUGUGCCGCGUUUUGCGGCUAAUUGCCUGCGCGACGUACAGGAGCAGUGAGACUGGGCCGGCCCAUUGAGAGGCACCGGCGAACUGUGUUUACAUCAGUAAAAAUCGCGAAAACAAAAGGUGACGAAGUGAGGAAUCGAACUUGUGACGUCCAUCUCCUCAACGAGUCAUACUAGUCACUGGAUCAAACUGUUACUUGUGAUUCAAAGCGCAUCGGGACCUUAUUUAAGACUUAAAGUUGCAGGAUAUUCCAUGUUGCAUGCUAUUUUCUGUAUCUGUAUACAUUUUUGAAAAUUGAACAAAUUUCGGAAAACACGAAAUGAAGUUUUGAAUAAA